rnacentral:rRNA from 1 species
UUGUUGGUAAGGUAAAAGCUUACCAAGGCUUCGAUCAGUAGCUGGUCUGAGAGGACGACCAGCCACACUGGGACUGAGACACGGCCCAGACUCCUACGGGAGGCAGCAGUGGGGAAUUUUGGACAAUGGGGGCAACCCUGAUCCAGCCAUGCCGCGUGAGUGAAGAAGGCCUUCGGGUUGUAAAGCUCUUUCAGCCGGAACGAAACGGUUACGGUUAACACCCGUGACUACUGACGGUACCGGAAGAAGAAGCACCGGCUAACUACGUGCCAGCAGCCGCGGUAAUACGUAGGGUGCGAGCGUUAAUCGGAAUUACUGGGCGUAAAGCGUGCGCAGGUGGUUUUGUAAGUCAGAUGUGAAAGCCCCGGGCUCAACCUGGGAACUGCGUUUGAAACUACAAGACUAGAGUGUGGCAGAGGGGGGUGGAAUUCCGCGUGUAGCAGUGAAAUGCGUAGAGAUGUGGAGGAACACCGAUGGCGAAGGCAGCCCCCUGGGUCAACACUGACGCUCAGGCACGAAAGCAUGGGGAGCAAACAGGAUUAGAUACCCUGGUAGUCCAUGCCCUAAACGAUGUCAACUAGUUGUCGGGCCUUUACGGGCUUGGUAACGUAGCUAACGCGUGAAGUUGACCGCCUGGGGAGUACGAUCGCAAGAUUAAAACUCAAAUGAAUUGACGGGGACCCGCACAAGCGGUGGAUUAUGUGGAUUAAUUCGAUGCGACGCGAAAAACCUUACCUACCCUUGACAUGUAUCGAAGCCCGCAGAAAAGCGGGGGUGCCCGAAAGGGAACGAUAACACAGGUGCUGCAUGGCUGUCGUCAGCUCGUGUCGUGAGAUGUUGGGUUAAGUCCCGCAACGAGCGCAACCCUUGUCAUUAAUUGCCAUCAUUUAGUUGGGCACUUUAAUGAGACUGCCGG